rnacentral:lncRNA from 1 species
AUAAGUAUUCACAACAACAUAAUUUAAAUAUAAAUUUAAUUUAUACAAUUGUCAUGUAAAAUACGACAAAACAUAAGUUGAGAGUUUUAACACGAAUAUUAUCUCGUAGACAAUAUCUAAACUCAAAUGGAGUCCUCAUUACAAUUAUUAUCGCACUAUUUUAUAGAAGACAAAACAUAAGUUGAUAGUUUUAACACGAAUAUUGUUUCGUAGACAAUAUCUAAACUCAAAUGGAGUCCUCAUUACAAUUAUUAUCACACUAUUUUAUAGAAUAGUGAAGACUACUAUAGCCACCAUCUUGGACCAUCACUCCAUUCCCCAACUAGUCCUAGCUAUAUUCUCAUUUUUUGAAUAAAACAAUUCCUGAAGAUAACAAUGAAAUAAAAGAAUGAGCUCAACUAGCCCAGUAAAAAUAACAUAUUAUGACUAAUAUAAUGUAGAAUAAAUUAUCCUUAGUCUUCAACAGUAUAAAAACUGAUAGAAUAUAAUAGACAACAAGUUUAACUGCGGCGGAACAAGCAAUUUAUUAAAAGAGUCAAUUUAAAAAUACAUUUAAUAAGAACAAUUAUCACUAUUAUCCCUUAUAUUUCAUUUUUUUUAAUAUACAUUUAAUAAUAUGAAUAUUAUAUUAAAUAACACUACAAAAAAUUCACAAUUAAUUGCCAUUGGAACUAUUGUUAAGAAAAAAAUGUGUUGUUAAAAAUAUAUUGAACAAAAUUUAAUAAAAGGAAUAAUAAUGGAUUUUAAUUCAUCCACAAAAUUCUAAACUAAAUCACAUAACACUUUUUUUUUUUGGAGUAAUCAAUAACUCGGACAAUCCAGAACUCAGAUAUUGAGUCAAUUUAGUUUUAUCCAUAAACAAUCACGUUACCAAAACAACAAACAUAAAAAAGCUAAUGGAAAACCCUCAAUAAAGCCAUAAAUCACUCCAUGUAAAUGAAAUAUUAUAGGUUUACCUUGAAAAAUGAUUCAACAACUAUUUUAUUCCAACAAUUUAGACGAGGAUAUAAUUACUUUUUAUAGUUCAAAUUUAAACUAGGUUAAUGAUUUUUUUUAAUUCUAAAAAAAAUGCUUCAUUACUUAAUAGUUCUACUUCCACAACAAAUUUAUACAUUUAAUGUAUUAUCUGUAAAGUUUAUCAUCAACACGAGAUUAGGUCAUAGUCUAAUUACUUGUACUUGUAAAUUUUGAGAAUAUAAAUCUAAUUAUUUAUACAUCUGGAAAAACUUAAGAUAAUUAAGUGUAGUAAAAUAUUAAGCAAAUUUCAAUAAAUUUUCAGAUUAAGUUUUCUUUUCCUUUUUUCCACAAAUAAAAGUAACUAAUAGAAAAAAAAUACAUUUAGAACAUCCAAAAAUAUAGAAAUACAAUUUUCUUUUAUUACUCUUCAAGAUACAUACUAUUAAUUAGAACAUGAAUUCAAUUAAUAAUGUCCACUAACUAUACAAAACAACACAAAUCAAAUGUCCAAGAACAUCACAAUAAGGGGGAAAUGUUUGAGUUAAUGUGUUGUCCUACAUGUGCAGAUGAUGUCCAACUUUAAAUGUUAAAGAAGUCCUGAUGUCUACUAGUAUAAUAUUUGUUGAAUAUGGUAUCUAGGUACACAUAUCUAGAUACACAUAGGGUAUCUUAGUAUAAAUAUAUUAUUUUUUUAAAAAAAAUAAUCAAACCAGCUUGCCCUAUAAUGAAUAGGCUAGGCUAGUAUGUAUUGCAAUUUAACAAGAGAAGGUCGGAGCAAAUGUAUAUGUAACAAUGAUAUAAUGAUAUAUUGCAAGUUAAAUAUAAUAUUAGAUCAAAUGUAUCAAUAUGAUGCUUUAUUGACUUCCGCCUGCUUCGUUAGGUUGAUUUGCAUUGGUGGGCGUCAGAUCUUGACGGAAAAUCGCAUUUUUUCCUGUAUUGAGGUAGGGCUGUGCGUCUCUAUUUAUAUAAAGUCAGACCGUGAGUCUUAAUUUUAUAAGCUCAUCAAGACACCAUUUAAAAUAUUUUUAAAAAUAUUCAUCUUGACAUCAUUUAGAUAUCAUUGCAUAAACUAUCAAAAUUAAGUUUACAAUUACCUUGAAUUAUAAACUUGAACACUUUGAUAAUUUUAUAAGAACUUACGGGUAUAUUUAAACCGAGAAACCACGGUCGGAUGAGAUCAAACCUAAAAUUCCAUAGAACUCGAUCUCUAAUAACUAGAAUGAAAAAACGCAGGCCUGGAUCAAACUUCAUCCCACAUCUACAAACUGAUAUUUGAUUUAAGGAAUCAGUUAAACUAGUAAUAAUAUGAAUAAAUAUACAAAACAAAGUAAUAUAGAGAGAAUCAUUGAUGUACCUUUGGACAGGGAGCCAAUAUGGAUGAAUAAUAGACUGCCAGAUAAAGCAGUAGCUGCACCAUCACUUUCUUUUUUCUUCUUCAUGAAUAAGGGACUAAGGGAGGCGGGCAGAGAUAAAAGGAUAUGAAGCCC